AGCGAACGCUGGCGGCAGGCCUAACACAUGCAAGUCGAACGCCUGUAGCCAUACAGGAGUGGCAGACGGGUGAGUAACACGUGGGAACGUGCCCUUCGGUUCGGACUAACUCAGGGAACCUUGGGCUAAUACCGGAUACGUCCGCGAGGAGAAAGAUUCAUUGCCGGAGGAACGGCCCGCGUCCGAUUAGUUAGUUGGUGGGGUAAUGGCUCACCAAGGCGACGAUCGGUAGCUGGUCUGAGAGGAUGAUCAGCCACACUGGGACGGAGACACGGCCCAGACUCCUACGGGAGGCAUCAGUGGGGAAUAUGGGACAAUGGGCGCAAUCCUGAUCCAGCCAUGCCGUGUGGGUGAUGAAGGCCCUAGGGUUGUAGAGCCCUUUCGGCUGGGAAGAUAAUGACGGUACCCGCAGAAGAAGCCCCGGCUAACUUCGUGCCAGCCGCCGCCGUAAUAC
rnacentral:rRNA from 1 species